rnacentral:lncRNA from 1 species
AUUUAUAGAGACAAUGGGUUUAAUUGUAUCAAGACGCAAAUUCAAAGAAGAUGAGCUAGUAAAGGUGAAUGUAGAUGUGGAUAUGUUAAAGAUGAUGCAAAAAGGCCAUGGAGGUUGGGAUCCCCGGAUGGAAGAUCUUAUAGGGCAAGUUGGUUCUGUCCAUGGAAUCUACCCUUCUGGUGAUGUAGUUGUGGAAUAUAGAGAGAUUAGAGCGUAUUUGACCUUUAAUCCUGACGCUUUAACAAAGGUCAAUCAGUGAGGCCUCUUAGAUUAAUCUGUUUGCUAUCGUUGAACCAGUUAAAACCAUCUGAACACAUCUAAACCUUGACAAUAGUACGAUCACAUCUCUACCUGUGUCGAGGAUAUAAAACAUUUCUUUCACUCUCUUCUACCUUUCUCUCUCUAACCCUCUUUUUCUGACUCUCUCCCUCUCUAAAGUGUGAUAUUGUACCGAGGAUAUACAUAUAUAUAUAUAUAUAUAUAUAUAUCAAAUGUCUCUCUCGUCGAAGACGGUGUAUGAGUUUUCAGCUUUAGCACAGAUAAUUUGUUUAUAGUGAUCAAAUGCAUGCGCUGUGCAUGAGCUCACUCCCUCCACCAAAUCCACAUUACCUGUACAGGUGCACAAGUGUGCCACACGUCAGAUGUUGAAAUGAUCCCAAAGCACCGUGAAAUAAAGUGUUUUGCUCCAGAACACAAGUGGUCGCUCGGUCCGAAAAUCGAAAUCCUGAUCUAGCGAUCGUGAGUGCAACAUCCACUGGGUGUUUCCCUAUCUCCUCUCUCUUACGAGUCUUCAUCCUCAGAAACUGCAUUUCUAACUCUUAUUAGCUCUCCACUCAUUCUAUAGCAAUGGUGCUGACAUAGAAACCGAAUAAUUCGCUUGACACAAUUCUCUGCAUUCAUUAAUCACAACCCUUAACGUCUUAACAUACACAUUUUCUUUUUUCAAAUUCCAUGCAAAAAACAUAUCAUUUAUUUUGAAUCUGUAUAUAAGGAUGAAUAA